rnacentral:rRNA from 1 species
UACGGGGGGGGCAAGCGUUGUUCGGAAUUACUGGGCGUAAAGCGCACGUAGGCGGCUAUUCAAGUCAGAGGUGAAAGCCCGGGGCUCAACCCCGGAACUGCCUUUGAAACUAGGUAGCUAGAAUCUUGGAGAGGUCAGUGGAAUUCCGAGUGUAGAGGUGAAAUUCGUAGAUAUUCGGAAGAACACCAGUGGCGAAGGCGACUGACUGGACAAGUAUUGACGCUGAGGUGCGAAAGCGUGGGGAGCAAACAGG